UACGGAGGGGGCAAGCGUUGUUCGGAAUUACUGGGCGUAAAGGGCUCGUAGGCGGCCAACUAAGUCGGACGUGAAAUCCCUCGGCUUAACCGGGGAACUGCGUCCGAUACUGGAUGGCUUGAGUUCGGGAGAGGGAUGCGGAAUUCCAGGUGUAGCGGUGAAAUGCGUAGAUAUCUGGAGGAACACCGGUGGCGAAGGCGGCAUCCUGGACCGACACUGACGCUGAGGAGCGAAAGCCAGGGGAGCAAACGGG
rnacentral:rRNA from 1 species